AUUGAACGCUGGCGGCAUGCCUUACACAUGCAAGUCGAACGGCAGCACGGGAGCAAUCCUGGUGGCGAGUGGCGAACGGGUGAGUAAUAUAUCGGAACGUGCCCAGUCGUGGGGGAUAACGCAGCGAAAGCUGUGCUAAUACCGCAUACGAACUACGGAUGAAAGCGGGGGAUCGCAAGACCACGCGCGCUUGUAGCGGGCGAUAUCAGAGUAGCUAGUUGGGGGGGUAAAGGCCCACCAAGGCGACGAUCUGUAGCUGGUCUGAGAGGACGACCAGCCACACUGGAACUGGGACACGGUCCAGACUCCUACGGGGGGCAGCGGUGGGGAAUUUUGGACAAUGGGCGAAAGCCUGAUCCAGCAAUGCCGCGUGCAGGACGAAGGCCUUCGGGUUGUAAACUGCUUUUGUACGGAACGAAAAGCCCUGGGUUAAUACCCUGGGGUCAUGACGGUACCGUAAGAAUAAGCACCGGCUAACUACGUGCCAGCCGCCGCAGUAA
rnacentral:rRNA from 1 species